rnacentral:rRNA from 1 species
AGACGAACCGGGCGAACGUUAUUCGGAAUCACUGGGCUUAAAGCGUGCGUAGGCGGCUUGGCAAGUUGGGUGUGAAAGCCCUCGGCUCAACCGAGGAACUGCGCCCAAAACUGCCAGGCUUGAGGGAGAUAGAGGUGAGUGAAACUAAUGGUGGAGCGGUGAAAUGCUUUGAUAUCAUUAGGAACACCGGUGGCGAAAGCGGCUCUCUGGGUCUCUUCUGACGCUGAGGCACGAAAGCUAGGGGAGCGAACGGGAUUAGAAACCCUAGUAGUCC